rnacentral:lncRNA from 1 species
UCUCGUCCAAGGUUAUCUACUAGGGGUUUUGAUCUGAGACCAAAUCCUAAACAACAAAAACUCAAAAAUAAGGAAAUGAGCCUAAAAUCCAAAUGAACUAUUCGAUAAUUGAACCAACAGUUCCACUACUAAAAGGACUUUCAUCUAAAGGGAUGAGGAAAUGACCAGAAGAGUCAUACAAUAUCCACUACUGAAAGGACUUUCAUCUGUGAAAG